UAGGGAAUCUUCCGCAAUGGACGCAAGUCUGACGGAGCAACGCCGCGUGAGUGAAGAAGGAUUUCGGUUCGUAAAACUCUGUUGUUAGAGAAGAACAGCGCAUAGAGUAACUGUUAUGCGUGUGACGUUAUCUAACCAGAAAGCCACGGCUAACUACGUGCCAGCAGCCGCGGUAAUACGUAGGUGGCAAGCGUUGUCCGGAUUUAUUGGGCGUAAAGCGAGCGCAGGCGGUCAAUUAAGUCUGAUGUGAAAGCCCCCGGCUCAACCGGGGAGGGUCAAUGGAAACUGGUUGACUUGAGUGCAGAAGAGGAGAGUGGAAUUCCAUGUGUAGCGGUGAAAUGCGUAGAUAUAUGGAGGAACACCAGUGGCGAAGGGGACUAUCUGGUCUGUAACUGACGCUGAGGCUAGAAAGCGUGGGUAGCAAACAGG
rnacentral:rRNA from 1 species